rnacentral:rRNA from 1 species
GACGAACGCUGGCGGCGUGCUUAACACAUGCAAGUCGAACGGAAAGGCCCUGCUUUUGUGGGGUGCUCGAGUGGCGAACGGGUGAGUAACACGUGAGUAUCCUGCUCUUGACUUUGGGAUAACUUCAGGAAACUGGGGCUAAUACCGGAUAGGAGCUCCUGCUGCAUGUUGGGGGUUGGAAAGUUUCGGCGGUUGUGGAUGGACUCGCGGCUUAUCAGCUUGUUGGUGGGGUAGUGGCUUACCAAGGCUUUGACGGGUAGCCGGCAUGAGAGGGUGACCGGCCACAUUGGGACUGAGAUACGGCCCAGACUCCUACGGGAGGCAGCAGUGGGGAAUAUUGCACAAUGGGCGGAAGCCUGAUGCAGCAACGUCGCGUGCGGGAUGACGGCCUUCGGGUUGUAAACCGCUUUCGCCUGUGACGAAGCGUGAGUGACGGUAAUGGGUAAAGAAGCACCGGCUAACUACGUG